rnacentral:rRNA from 1 species
AGAGUUUGAUCCUGGCUCAGAACGAACGCUGGCGGCGUGCCUAACACAUGCAAGUCGAGCGCGAAAGGAGCAAUCCGAGUAGAGCGGCGCACGGGUGCGUAACACGUGGGUAAUCUGCCUCAGGGUUGAGGAUAACCUUCCGAAAGGUCGGCUAAUACUCGGUAAGCUUACGAUGUCUUCGGACGUUGUGAGAAAACUAGACCUCUAUUUAUAAGUUUAGGCCCAGAGAUGAGCCCGCGGCCCAUCAGCUAGUUGGCGGGGUAACAGCCCACCAAGGCUACGACGGGUAGCUGGUCUGAGAGGACGAUCAGCCACACUGGAACUGAGACACGGUCCAGACUCCUACGGGAGGCAGCAGUGGGGAAUUUUCCACAAUGGGCGAAAGCCUGAUGGAGCAACGCCGCGUGUGUGAUGAAGGUCUUCGGAUCGUAAAGCACUUUCGACUGGGACGAAAAACCUCUGGCUAACAUCCAGGGGCCUGACGGUACCGGGAGAAGAAGCACCGGCUAACUCUGUGCCAGCAGCCGCGGUAAUACAGAGGGUGCAAGCGUUGUUCGGAAUUAUUGGGCGUAAAGCGCGUGUAGGCGGCUUGGCAAGUCAGAUGUGAAAGCCCUCGGCUUAACCGAGGAAGUGCGUCUGAAACUGCUGAGCUUGAGUGUCGGAGAGGAUGGCGGAAUUCCGCAAGUAGAGGUGAAAUUCGUAGAUAUGCGGAGGAACACCGGUGGCGAAGGCGGCCAUCUGGACGACUACUGACGCUGAGACGCGAAAGCGUGGGGAGCAAACAGGAUUAGAUACCCUGGUAGUCC